UGCGCGCAUGUGUGCGAUCAAUGUGUACAUCAAUAGAAAAUAGAAAUAGUAAAAUCUUCAGUUUGAACUCGGCUUGAACGUCGUGUACUGCGGCGGCUUCUCGAUCUUGCAGUGGGGCUUCAGGGUUGCUAAACGAUCUGGUUUGAGAAACAGCUGCUCCCCCUGCACAAUUUUCAUCUUAAGGAUCUUAAGAGAAUACGAAUCUGGUCGCGUUCAAGGCACGCGUAUAACCAGAAGCAUCGGACAAAUAAAACUCUACAGGUUAUGAACGAAGUGGCAUCAAUGAUAGUUUCGAGAUGCGAGCAGCAAAGCUAAUUAAUCGUUACAAUGAUUUUGCGCAAUGAUAAUGACGAUUCGCGAUCGGACGAAGUGCAAAUGAGAUGAAAUGGAGGAAAGAGAAAGAGAGAGAAAGAAUGAAUGAAACAGAAAGAGUGGGAGAGAAGAACGUCUCGAUGAAUAUAAAAGUUUCAUCUAUACGCCGCUAGAUCAAUAAAUACACUCGGGCGACGCGUUGCGUCGUAAUAUUUCACUUAAGUUCGAGCAUUCGACCAGUCAACGACGAACAAGUAUUUAUUGUCGGCAGACACGUAACGUCCACUUUCGGUCAGAAACUUAUCUCGGUCGAAGUUUACUGGCACCGAGGCAAACGGAGAAAAGUUGGCUGCCAGAAGGUUACAGUCCCUGUAACAAUGAACUAGCCGGAAUCGCGAUAGACGAGCCAAGAUGAAGCUGGGUGCUCCUUUCUCCUCCAUCUCUCGGCCACACUCUCGGUCAGAGAUAACAGAGUUUUUCGGCCGGGCGAGCAGAGUUUUCGUUCCAGGGAGAGGAGAGUCCAGUCUAUGCGGCGGGAAAUCACGUGGUUCCGGCUACGUGGUCAAACGAACGCGCGUAUGUGAAGCACGUGCCACCGAUGCGCUUCGACAUAGCUGGCAUUUUCCUCCCCUGGAACGCUAUCGGACAAAGGGAGUCCUAAUAAAUUCCAUUCGACUCGGUAUCGAA